AUAGCUUCUUGGCCUUUUGGCUAAGAUCAAAGUAUAGUAGCUUAUCAGUUUAAUGUCUGAUAGGUCCUCUAUCCGAGUAGAAUAUAGUAAACGGAUUUUUGGGAUUGGGAGAUGGAAUAGGAGCUUGCUCCAUCCACUCCACAUAUCGACCUGAUAUUGCAGUACUUCCGGGAACAGUGCAACAAGU